GACGAACGCUGGCGGCGUGCUUAACACAUGCAAGUCGAGCGGUAAGGCCCUUUCGGAGGUACACGAGCGGCGAACGGGUGAGUAACACGUGGGUGACCUGCCCUCAGCUCUGGGAUAAGCCUGGGAAACCGGGUCUAAUACCGGAUAUGACUCCAUGACGCAUGUUGUGGGGUGGAAAGCCUUGUGCGGCUGAGGAUGGGCCCGCGGCCUAUCAGCUUGUUGGUGGGGUGAUGGCCUACCAAGGCGACGACGGGUAGCCGGCCUGAGAGGGCGACCGGCCACACUGGGACUGAGACACGGCCCAGACUCCUACGGGAGGCAGCAGUGGGGAAUCUUGCGCAAUGGGCGAAAGCCUGACGCAGCGACGCCGCGUGAGGGAUGACGCC
rnacentral:rRNA from 1 species